rnacentral:rRNA from 1 species
GACGAACGCUGGCGGCGUGCUUAACACAUGCAAGUCGAACGCUGAAGCUCAGCUUUUGUUGGGUGGAUGAGUGGCGAACGGGUGAGUAACACGUGAGUAACCUGCCCCCUUCUUUGGGAUAACGCCCGGAAACGGGUGCUAAUACUGGAUAUUCACUGGUCUUCGCCUGGGGGUUGGUGGAAAGGGGUUUUUUGGUGGGGGAUGGGGUCGUGGCCUAUCAGCGUGUUGGUGGGGUGAUGGCGUACCAAGGCUUUGACGGGUAGCCGGCCUGAGAGGGUGACCGGUCACAGUGGGACGGAGAUACGGCCCAGACUCGUACGGGAGGCAGCAGUGGGGAAUAUUGCACAAUGGGCGCAAGCCUGAUGCAGCGACGCCGCGUAAGGGAUGGGGGCCUUCGGGUUGUGAACCUCGUUCGCACAUGGUCAAGCCGCAACAAUGGUUGUGGUGAGGGUAGUGGGUAAAGAAGCGCCGGCUAACUACGUG